rnacentral:rRNA from 1 species
UCCUAAGGCGAGGCCGAAAGGCGUAGUCGAUGGGAAACGGGUUAAUAUUCCCGUACUUCUUACAAUUGCGAUGGGGGGACGGAGAAGGCUAGGUGGGCCUGGCGACGGUUGUCCAGGUUCAAGUACGUAGGCGGAAAGUUUAGGUAAAUCCGGACUUUCAUUAACGCUGAGAUACGAUGUCGAGCUACUACGGUAGUGAAGUCAUUGAUGCCAUGCUUCCAGGAAAAGCCUCUAAGCUUCAGAUUGUAAGG